AGGGUUUGAUCCUGGCUCAGGAUGAACGCUAGCGGCAGGCCUAACACAUGCAAGUCGAGGGGCAGCACGUCUUCGGAUGGUGGCGACCGGCGCACGGGUGAGUAACGCGUAUGCAACCUACCCUAUUCUGGGGGAUAGCCCGAAGAAAUUCGGAUUAAUACCCCAUGGUACUGAGCUGUGGCAUCACAGCUUAGUUAAAGGUUACGGAAUAGGAUGGGCAUGCGUCCCAUUAGCUAGAUGGUAAGGUAACGGCUUACCAUGGCGACGAUGGGUAGGGGGUCUGAGAGGAUGGUCCCCCACACUGGUACUGAGACACGGACCAGACUCCUACGGGAGGCAGCAGUGAGGAAUAUUGGUCAAUGGGCGAGAGCCUGAACCAGCCAUGCCGCGUGCAGGAAGAAUGCCCUAUGGGUUGUAAACUGCUUUUAUCAGGGAAUAAACCUUUCUACGUGUAGGAAGCUGAAGGUAUCUGAUGAAUAAGCACCGGCUAACUCCGUGCCAGCAGCCGCGGUAAUACGGAGGGUGCAAGCGUUAUCCGGAAUCCUUGGGUUUAAAGGGUCC
rnacentral:rRNA from 1 species